ensembl:lncRNA
GUGAUAUAGAAAUAAGUAGGGUCCAGUCCCUAUUCCUGAGGCCUUAGAGAAAGGGGAAGAUCCAUAAACUGAAAGGCAGAAAGAUCAUGCAAGAGGGGAGGAGGCCACCAGACUAAAGGACGUUCAAAGAAAGGCGGGUGCCCCUGAAGCACCAGGAUGGAGUCAGCCCCAUGAGACACUCACUAAGCAGUUGUGAACUCCUAGCACACUGAAGCCGCCUCUCCACCUAUAAGUAAAAAGAAGAGACGAUCCCAAGCACAGAGAGGGCCUGAGUCCGUGGCAGCCUCCCUUGGCACCUCAGACCUCCAAACACUGAGAAAACUCAUCCGGAGUCAGAUCCAGACGUUUCUUCAUCUCAGCUGCCAGGAAGUACGUAUUUUGGCACAUGGGGACCAAGGAAGGAAGGAAUGGAGGAGAACUUACCCCAGAGGCUAGUAAAAUAUCAGCACAGGUUGUUUGCUCAUCUGUGGGAAAACAAUAGAAAAGAAAAAAAAAAAAAAAAAAA